rnacentral:lncRNA from 1 species
GGAGUAGGGUAGUUGGCAGUGGGGUAUUAGGAGUGGUCUCUGGUCCUGGUUGGUCUGGAGAUACCCAACACGACUAGGCCCUGGUUUGGGCCAUGUCAUGAAUAGAGCAACGGAAUUCUACAUUAGAAAUAUCUCCCUUAGGUCACUGAGCAUAAGUGUUGUGAGAAAUUUGGAGCAGGGGCCCUAUACUGGGUCUAUACUCCAUAAGUAGUACGAGCUCCUUCGACAUUGUCCUCAGAC